CCACCCCACCAUUGAUAGUCCCUACACACACCAUUGAUAUACAACUAUCAUUGACCAUUUGAUCAUAAUCAAACGCCAAAGAAUCCAUGACCUACCACUCCAAAUUCACACAAAAACUUGACAAGUGUUUUCAUAAACAACACCACAUUUAGUAUUCACAUGUUGAUACCUAACCAUGUCCAUAUAAAUACACAACAUAACACAAAACUAUACUUUGCACCAAAUUUCACAUUUUCCAUCCAUUUGUUUUUUUCCUUACAACUUUAAAACAACAUGAACCACUUUCAUUUCUUUCUCAUCCUUUCUCUUCUUUUUCUCACACCAAGAGUUCAUCAUGCUAUAAGAGUCAAAUUCUCAAGCCCUUCAACUUCAACUUCAUCUCAUCAUGCUUUUCAUAUUCCAUUUUUCAAUUCUUCUCCAAUCAGAAGCAAAGGUAGAGAUUUCAAGUCUCAGAAACGUAAAGUUCCUACAGGAUCCAACCCUUUACACAACAAGAGAUAGUUUCAUUUCUCAUCAGGUUUUUGGUGGAAGAAUCAAUUAAUUGUUGAGAUAGUAUAGUCAAAUUUAUAUAAUAUAGUUUAUUUUAGUUAUUUAUUUCUUUGUCAUAUACUAGAAAUUAGACAUAACUAUUUAUAUGAUAUAUAGUAGCAGAAUUUUAGGUUCCAUUUGUUUGUGAUAUUAAUUAGAAUUAGUUAUUGGUUAGCAAGAUUUGUAGAGACUAAAGAGUCUUGUAAAGAAGGUAAAUAGGAUUUUGAAUUUUUGGAAAUUAUACAUUUAAUUUCUUUGCCAUUUAACCUUAAUAAUUUUUUAUUUUCUAUUUUGCAAUUUUAUGCUUAUGGCUCAAUUUUUUUAAAGGGUUGCCAUAAUUGACAAUUUUGUUCAUGUCAAAUCAUUUUGGAAAUUCUAGCUAUUUCUAGUUGACCAUAGAAUAUGAGUUUUUAUUAUUGAACCUUUGGUGGACACAAUUAUAUCCAUGUAAGUAUUUUUUCCACUAUCAUAUUCUACAUCUGCAUAGAUUUUAAAAUAUUUAGAUAUUAUGGAGUAGAACUGAUUUAGCUUCUAAAUUUUAUUU
rnacentral:lncRNA from 1 species